AGAACGAACGCUGGCGGCAGGCUUAACACAUGCAAGUCGAACGCGUGUAGCAAUACACGAGUGGCGCACGGGUGAGUAACGCGUGGAUAUCUGCCUUUUGGUUCGGAAUAACCCCGGGAAACUGGGGCUAAUACCGGAUGGUUCCUACGGGAUAAAGAUUUAUCGCCAAAAGAUGAGUCCGCGUCCGAUUAGCUAGUUGGUGGGGUAAUGGCCUACCAAGGCGACGAUCGGUAGCUGGUCUGAGAGGACGAUCAGCCACACUGGGACUGAGACACGGCCCAGACUCCUACGGGAGGCAGCAGUGGGGAAUAUUGGACAAUGGGGGCAACCCUGAUCCAGCCAUGCCGCGUGAGUGAUGAAGGCCUUCGGGUUGUAAAGCUCGUUUUGGCGGGGACGAUGAUGGACGGUACCCGCAGAAUAACGCCCGGCUAACUUCGUGCCAGCAGCCGC
rnacentral:rRNA from 1 species